rnacentral:rRNA from 1 species
UACGAAGGGUGCAAGCGUUACUCGGAAUUACUGGGCGUUAAAGCGUGCGUAGGCGGUUUGUUAAGUCCGUUGUGAAGCCCUGGGCUCAACCUGGGAAUUGCAGUGGAUACUGGCGAGCUAGAGUGCGGUAGAGGAUGGUGGAAUUCCGGUGUAGCGGUGAAAUGCGUAGAGAUGGGAGGACACCCGUGCGAAGGCGGCCAAUCUGGACCGCACUGA